UACAGAGGGGGCCAGCGUUAUUCGGAUUUACUGGGCGUAAAGGGCGCGUAGGCGGCGUAACAAGUCACUUGUGAAAUCUCCGGGCUUAACCCGGAGCGGCCAAGUGAUACUGUUGUGCUAGAGUGCAGAAGGGGCAACUGGAAUUCUCGGUGUAGCGGUGAAAUGCGUAGAUAUCGAGAGGAACACCUGCGGCGAAGGCGGGUUGCUGGGCUGAUACUGACGCUGAGGCGCGAAAGCUAGGGGAGCGAACGGG
rnacentral:rRNA from 1 species